UUACAGCAAUAUUUUACAGCCGAUGGCUGUAUUUUAAUAAUACAGCAUAUUGCUGUAAAUUGCAAUGAAUUCCAGGGGCGUGGCGGUUUGAAUCAAAUUUACAGAAUAUUGCUGUAAAUUUCAAAUAUACAGAGGCAUUGUGGGAUCUCCAACGGUCAAGAUUCGAGUAGCAGCAAGAGGAGUGAUUUACAACUGUGGUAUUUAUCUGGAGAGAGGAACAAAGACGAAAGGAAAAGUGCCAUCUAAAACAACAGGCAGACAGUUCAGAAGAAACGGGUUGCGUUCAACCUACAUGUGGCCACUCUUCUGUGCAAAGUGAUGGAUUUUCAGUGGAAUUUCUGAAAUCCUCUCUUUGAAUCCUGGGAUGGAACAUCAUCUGGAGCAGAAUUGUUCUUUUUUGAUCGCAAGUUUGUUGGACUUGUUGUUUGGCCAUGUUGGUAUGUUCAUGAAGUGAUAAAAGUGAUGUGGGUUUUAAGAAAUGUUUUUAUAUGACCCUGUUGGUCAAGUUAUAGUUAUAAUUGUAUUUCUUUGUGUGAAGGGCCAUGAUGGCCAAUAAGUAAUUUAAAAAAAUUUUCAUG